GACGAUUUUCAGAUUUAUGUUUUUAAUGAUAUUCUUCUAUAGAGUGUAUAUCCAAGAAUCCAUGCCCCAUAAGCUGGGUAAAUGAGGACAAGUCUGGCUCAGUCUAAGGGAGUUAUUACAGAUUCCGGGGCGGGUGAUUAGAAACUCUCCAGUUAGGCCCAAGCAACUAUUUCUGUUGUACCUACUGUGAAAAGGCCGGGUCAUAGCACCUCUUCGCGGAGUCUGCUAUAGACUCAUGAUUGAAAAUUGCUGACUUACACAGGGAUUCUGCACGGAAAGAAGGGUACACAGCUGGAGAUUGUUUAGAGACAAUUAAGACUUAUUGGCUUUUCAGCUGGUGAUAAAGGCAGAGAGCUCGGAGACUCUUGGCAUCUUGAAAUUGUUACCCAGGAAAUCAUGAAGAAUGAUGUUGACUGGCCCAUCUUAAAUCGCUUGCCACCUGGACCAAUCACUAUGGCCCCCAGAGCAGAACCAUUUGAGAAGAGGCAGCUCCCUGGUGGAGCAUCCCAUGUGAGAGUGGGGAGAAGGACCACGCUCUACAGGAGGGAGGGUGCAGCGCUCAUCAGAAGCAAGGGAGGUGAACAACCCCUUGAGGAAUCAAUGUCUCCUUCAAAUGUUCCCCCUUUUUUACUGGCCAGCUCCAUCUCCUUCUCGGGUUGCACCUCAGGGGCCCUAGAAGCUUUCCCCAUUCGCAGCCCAAGCAUUCUGAGAGCUUGGGAGGGUUUGGUGAGUGAAGGUGAAAGAAAGGACAUAGGGAGGACGAGCAGAGCAAACUAUAUUUACUUCACUUACAUGCUUCAGGUCAGUCAUGUUUUGGGGAUCCUUCUCUGUGGUAUUGGUGUGUGCAAAACAGGAACAUCUGUCCUUUAACGUUGCUGCUCAAAAGGGAAUCAGUUUAUCAGGGGUGAAUUGUGUCUGUCUGGGAUGAUUUCUUAAAUCUCUUCCAGCCCAGUGAUUCUGGUAAUUGUCCUUGUUCCUGAUGUCCCAGCAAUUGUGACAUUCAAGCUCAGUUCUAAAUUAGUCUCCUCUCUUUCUUCUCUCCCCUUCUAGAGGAAUGAAGAGGAGAAGGGGGAGAGAAAUGAAGCUUCUGUGUGUUUUCUUCCAUCUGAACACUGCCAAUGUGUAUCUCCAUGUGAUUUUAUUGAAAUUUUGAGCUUCAUGAUCCUGCCACCAGUGAAACUUUGUUAGCCUUGCUUGCUGUCUGUGGGUGGACUAGGCUUGUAUAAUUAUAACAGAUUAAAAAAGGGAGUUCUGAAUUUCACUUGCCAAGGUUUUGUUUGAUAAAUUAAUACACAAAUAAGACAUUUUUUACAUUUUACUUCUACUAAUACCUAUAGCAAGAUGAUAUCAGUGAAUAUUUUAUAAAAUUUUAGAGUGUUAGAGCUAUGUGGAACUUCAGAAAUCCUCUGAAUCUACUUUAUUUUUUAAAGAUGAGAAAGAUGCUGAGGCUGGUGACACACAAGAGUUAGUUGAAGAAGUAGGCAUCUUAGCUCUCUCCAAGCCAGGGACUUUUCUAGUUUAUAUUGAUGCUUCUUACAUCUUAAAUCAAGUGGGUAAUUAGAAAACUUACGUUUCACUACUUUAUUUAGAUUAAUCAGAGUGGAGGAGUGUAGAUCAGUGGGUUCCAAACUUAUGGUAGUAAAUGUAGAAAUAGUGUUAACAGAAGAGUUAGCCCCAGGGUUUUCUCUCUUGAAAUUACUUGAUUCCAAACCCACUUUUAAGUCUCUUUCUCUCCUUUCCUCCCUCUCUCUUCUCUUGCUCCCACUCUUCCUGCAACGUAAGAUCCUUUUAGGUGGUCAGGACGCAUCUUGGUAUCUGGUUGCCUGGAAUUAAACAUAUUUCCCCAAGAAAUGCAUUUGUGUUUUCAAGAAGAAU
rnacentral:lncRNA from 1 species